UACAGAGGUCUCGAGCGUUAGGCGGAAUCACUGGGCUUAAAGCGUGUGUAGGCGGGUCGUUAAGUGCCUUGUGAAAUCCCAUGGCUCAACCAUGGAACUGCUGGGCAUACUGGCGAUCUUGUGCCCCCUAGGGGCGAGCGGAACAGAUGGUGGAGCGGUGAAAUGCGUAGAUAUCAUCUGGAACGCCAAUGGUGAAAACAGCUCGCUGGGGGUGUGCAGACGCUGAGACACGAAAGCCAGGGGAGCGAACGGG
rnacentral:rRNA from 1 species